UACGCUUUAGUAUAAGAUGUAUGAGAAUUUUUGGUAUUCUAGGAAGUAGUUUAAUUCUACUUGGCGUAA
rnacentral:tRNA from 1 species